rnacentral:rRNA from 1 species
GGGGAAUAUUGCACAAUGGGCGCAAGCCUGAUGCAGCAACGCCGCGUGAGGGACGACGGCCUUCGGGUUGUAAACCUCUUUUAGCAGGGAAGAAGCGAAAGUGACUGUACCUGCAGAAAAAGCACCGGCUAACUACGUGCCAGCAGCCGCGGUAAUACGUAGGGUGCAAGCGUUAUCCGGAAUUAUUGGGCGUAAAGAGCUCGUAGGCGGUUUGUCGCGUCUGCUGUGAAAACCCGCGGCUCAACCUCGGGCCUGCAGUGGGUACGGGCAGACUAGAGUGCGGUAGGGGAGAUUGGAAUUCCUGGUGUAGCGGUGGAAUGCGCAGAUAUCAGGAGGAACACCGAUGGCGAAGGCAGAUCUCUGGGCCGUAACUGACGCUGAGGAGCGAAAGCAUGGGGAGCGAAC